rnacentral:rRNA from 1 species
ACGGGGUGCAGCAGGCGCGAAAACUUCGCAAUGUGGGAAACCACGACGAGGGAAUUCCAAGUGCUCAUGGAAUUCCAUGGGCUGUUUUUCUGCCCAAAAAGCAGGGAGAGUAAGAGCUGGGUAAGACGGGUGCCAGCCGCCGCGGUAAUACCCGCAGCUCGAGUGGUGAUCGUUUUUAUUGGGCCUAAAGCGUCCGUAGCCUGCUUGGUAAAUCCUUGGGUAAAUCGGGCAGCUUAACUGUCCGACUUCCGGGGAGACUGCCAGGCUUGGGACUGGGAGAGGUCGGAGGUACUCCGGGGGUAGAGGUGAAAUUCUGUAAUCCUUGGGGGACCACCAGUGGCGAAGGCGUCCGACUUGAACGGGUCCGACGGUGAGGGACGAAGCCCUGGGGCACAAACCGGAUUAGAUACCCGGGUAGUCCAGGGUGUAAACGCUGCGGGCUUGGUGUUGGGGGUCCUACGAGGGCGUCCAGUGCCGGAGAGAAGUUGUUAAGCCCGCCGCCUGGGAGUACGUCGCAAGAC